rnacentral:rRNA from 1 species
AUUGAACGCUGGCGGCAGGCCUAACACAUGCAAGUCGAGCGGAUGAAGGGAGCUUGCUCCUGGAUUCAGCGGCGGACGGGUGAGUAAUGCCUAGGAAUCUGCCUGGUAGUGGGGGAUAACGUCCGGAAACGGGCGCUAAUACCGCAUACGUCCUGAGGGAGAAAGUGGGGGAUCUUCGGACCUCACGCUAUCAGAUGAGCCUAGGUCGGAUUAGCUAGUUGGUGGGGUAAAGGCCUACCAAGGCGACGAUCCGUAACUGGUCUGAGAGGAUGAUCAGUCACACUGGAACUGAGACACGGUCCAGACUCCUACGGGAGGCAGCAGUGGGGAAUAUUGGGCAAUGGGCGAAAGCCUGACCCAGCCAUGCCGCGUGUGUGAAGAAGGUCUUCGGAUUGUAAAGCACUUUAAGUUGGGAGGAAGGGCAGUAAGUUAAUACCUUGCUGUUUUGACGGUACCAACAGAAUAAGCACCGGCUAACUUCGUG